rnacentral:rRNA from 1 species
GAGUAAAGAUUUCGGUCGCUUUGGGAGGAGCUCGCUUACUAUCAGCUUGUUGGUAGGGUAAUGGCCUACCAAGGCUAUGACGGUUAGGGGGUGUGAGAGCAUGACCCCCAGCAUUGGCACUGAAACACUGGCCAAACACCUACGGGUGGCUGCAGUCGAGAAUCUUCCACAAUGGGGGAAACCCUGAUGGAGCGAUGCUGCGUGCGGGAUGAAGGCCUUCGGGUUGUAAACCGCUUUUGUAGGGGACGAAAUUUUUGACGGUACCCUUUCGAAUAAGAGGUUGCUAACUCUGUGCCAGCAGCAGCGGUAAUACAGAGACCUCAAGCGUUAUCCGGAUUUACUGGGCGUAAAGCGUCUGUAGGGGGUUUAUUAAGUUCCAAGUAAAAUUUCAAGGCUCAACUUUGAAUUCGCUUGGAACACCUAAUAACCUUGGAGUCUAGCAGAGGUGCAUGGAACUUGUGGUGUAGGAGUGAAAUCCGUUGAUAUCACAAGGAACACCAAAGGCGAAGGCCUUGCACUGGGCUAGCACUGACCCUGAGAGACGAUAGCGUGGGGAGCAAAACGGAGUAGAUACCCCGUGUAGUCCACGCCCUAUACGAUGAAUGCUAAAUGUUCGGGGAUUCGACCCCCUGGGUGUUACAGCUAACGCGUUAAGCAUUCCGCCUGGGAAGUACGGCCGCAAGGCUAGAACUCAAAGGAAUAGACGGGGAUCCGCACAAGCGGUGGAGCGUCUGGUUUAAUUCGACAGUAAGCGUGGUACCUCACCAGGGUUUGACAUCCCUUGACAGCCUUUGGAAACAAGGUUUCCUUCGGGCAAGGUGACAGGUGCUGCAUGGUCGUCGUCAGUUCGUGCCGUGAGGUGUUCCGUUAAGUCGGGAAACGAACGAAACCCCUAUUGCAUGUUACAAUUUCUCAUGCAAGACUGCCCGGAUAUACUGGGAGGAAGGUGGGGAUGACGUCAGAUCUGCAUGGUCCUUAUACCCUGGGCGACACAGGCGCUACAAUGGCAGAGACAAAGGGUUGCAAAACCGCAAGGUGAAGCUAAUCCCAAAAACUUUGUCUAAGUUCGGAUUGAAGGCUGCAAUUCGCCUUCAUGAAGCUGGAAUCGCUAGUAAUCGUGAAUCAGCCACGUCACGGUGAAUAUGUUCCCGGAUCUUGUACUCACCGCCCGUCACACCAAGAGAGUUGGUAGCUCCCGAAG